rnacentral:piRNA from 1 species
UGGGAAACUGAGCAGGAACCUAAGAAAAAU